CACCUCUUAACAGGGGGAUAACACUGAGAAAUUGGUACUAAUACCCCAUAAUAUCAUAGAAGGCAUCUUUUAUGGUUGAAAAUUCCGAUGGUUAGAGAUGGGCAUGCGUUGUAUUAGCUAGUUGGUGGGGUAACGGCUCACCAAGGCGACGAUACAUAGGGGGACUGAGAGGUUAACCCCCACACUGGUACUGAGACACGGACCAG
rnacentral:rRNA from 1 species